rnacentral:rRNA from 1 species
GGACCACACGAACGUUAUUCGGAAUUACUGGGCUUAAAGGGUGCGUAGGCUGUGCAGAAAGUUGGGUGUGAAAGCCCUCGGCUUAACCGAGGAACUGCGCCCAAAACUACUGUGCUCGAGGGAGACAGAGGUGAGCGGAACUUAGGGUGGAGCGGUGAAAUGCGUUGAUAUCCUAAGGAACACCGGUGGCGAAAGCGGCUCACUGGGUCUCUUCUGACGCUGAUGCACGAAAGCUAGGGGAGCGAACGGGAUUAGAUACCCCGGUAGUCCUAGCCGUAAACUCUGAGCACUGGGUUGGAGGGUCCCUCAUAACCUUCCAGCCGUAGCGAAAGUGUUAAGUGCUCCGCCUGGGGAGUAUGGUCGCAAGGCUGAA